rnacentral:rRNA from 1 species
CCUACGGGAGGCAGCAGUGGGGAAUAUUGCGCAAUGGGCGAAAGCCUGACGCAGCGACGCCGCGUGAGGGAUGAAGGUCUUCGGAUCGUAAACCUCUGUCAGCAGGGAAGAACGGUCACUGUGCUAAUCAGCAGUGAAUUGACGGUACCUGCAAAGGAAGCACCGGCUAACUCCGUGCCAGCAGCCGCGGUAAUACGGAGGGUGCGAGCGUUAAUCGGAAUUACUGGGCGUAAAGCGCUCGUAGGCGGUAUGUCAAGUCAAGGGUGAAAUCCCCGCGCUCAACGUGGGAACUGCCUUUGAAACUGUGUUGCUGGAGUGCAGGAGGGGUAAGCGGAAUUCCUAGUGUAGCGGUGAAAUGCUUAGAUAUCACGAAGAACUCCGAUUGCGAAGGCGGCUUACUAAACUGCCACUGACAUUGAUGCUCGAAAGUGUGGGUAUCAAACAGGAUUAGAUACCCUUGUAGUC